AGAAUCAACGCUGGCGGCGUGCCUAACACAUGCAAGUCGAACGCGACUGGGGACUUCGGUUCCCGGUUGAGUGGCGAACGGGUGAGUAACACGUGGGUGAUCUACCUUCGAGUGGGGGAUAACGUUCCGAAAGGAACGCUAAUACCGCAUGACGUUCUGGGUUUGAAGACCUGGAAACCAAAGCCGGGGACCGCAAGGCCUGGCGCUUGGAGAGGAGCCCGCGUCCGAUUAGCUAGUUGGCGGGGUAACGGCCCACCAAGGCGACGAUCGGUA
rnacentral:rRNA from 1 species